rnacentral:lncRNA from 1 species
UUUUUUCUAUCAGAUGAGAAGGGAGAAUCAAGAAGAACAGGGGCCAAUAAUCAUGAAAUGUAGACAUUUGUUUAAGAUCUCCUUUUCCUAACAAGCAUUUCUGACUCCAAGCAUUUAUAUGGUACCUGAGGGAGCUAAAAUCAUGAGAGUUUUCAGCAGAAGCAUGAUUGUUUUUAUGAAUUUAUUGUCGAUUGAUUCGAUGUUCUUCAUCAGAUGGAUUACAUAUGUAAACAUGGUUCAUGCUUGUACAUUAGUAACAGGUGGAUGAGAAGUAGCUACUCAAAUUUUUAGUUUGUCUUUGUUGCCAUUCAUGUUAUUUGCAUUGAUAUAUCUUCCUGCCUUUCUGUGAACAUGCAGAGAUGGAUUUGCAGUUAAAAGAGGGAAUUGCCAUUCAUCUGUAUUAUGAAUCAUGGAAUCUUACAUGGUACCUAACUUAAAAGCUUUAUUGAAAUAUAGCUAUUAUGCUUUUACAAAUUGGAAAUGGCCUGCCUAGACAAAGUGGGAAUGACCCUUUCAUCAAGAAUCUCCAAUUUUUUUUUUACAAUCCACAGAGGGAGAUUCAAACCCGGUUCUUUGAAUUACACAAAAAUACAUACACUUACUAUCGAUCUCAGACCAAGAUCAGUGGGAGAUGCAUACACUUACCAUCAAUCCCAGAUCGGGAUCAAUGGUAUAGGUUUGAUUCGAAACCCCGAAACUCAUGCCGUUGAAGCUCGUUUCAUGGAAAGAAUGGUCAAGAAAUUCCGGUGGCUUUGCUUUGGCUUGUUCAUAGACAUCAUCUUCCUCCCAGGUUUCUUCUGAUGACUCCUAAGCACACAAACAUCUCCCUGGCAGAUAUAUCUUUUAGAUUCUGAGGAGGAUUCUGUGAAACAGCUGAAGAUGUUUGGGAGCAACGCCAUGGUAUAAUCGAUCAAUGCUCCCAAAAAAGACUGCAAUAUUGUUUAAAAGAUUGUUUCCAUGAAUUUCUCUACCUGCUUAUAACGGGUGGAUGGCCAUUGCAGUUGGGUUUUUAGGCAAUUAGUCAAUGUCGGCGGGCAAUGACCAUUUAAUUUUCAGUUCAAUAUAAGGCACACGUUUAUAUGGUUUAAACCAUUUAUUUUUUUCAAACAACAAAACGUGUUGGACCAAAUAUGUUAUUUUCUAGCAAUUAAUUCCUUUUUUUAUUAAUUUUUUGUGAUUAUUUCUUCUCUAUGGUCUUUGAUCUUAGAGUUUGGUUAAUUGAUGGGCCGGGUUUUGGAACGAGGUCGUUUUUUUUUAUUUAUAUGUAAUGUAUUGUCUGCGUAUAAUAUUUAUGUAUUAUCACUAAAUAAAAUAUUAUUGUUUAUUUUAAUGAUAAUAAUUCGUGUAUUUUUUAUUUUGUUCGAGAAAAUUUGGUAAACUCAUACUAAAAAAAAUAUUAACAAAAAAAAGAAUGGCACAUGGUAGACCAUGGUAUGUUUGAAUGGGAAAGAGGGUGUGGGCUAUUAUUUGACUCUUUUAUUUAAAUAAAAGAUUCAAAAUUAGUUUAAAGAAGGGGAAAAUAAUUAAAAAAAGGGAAAGAACACAAUUGAAUUUCUUUUUUUAUAUAUUUAUAUAUAAAUAUAACAUUAUAAUAAAUGCAAGUUGUAUUUAGUUUUUUUUUUAAUGAAAAAUCCAUGAAGAGAUAAGAUUACAAUUCAUCAUUCAUAAGAUCAAAACUCACUCUUUGUUUUUUCCAAAGAAAAUUUCCGUUUGGUUUUGACCAAUGCUAUGAGAAAUUACCUAGGAAGGCUGAAUGUACUUAAAAAAUGCUAUAAGUCAAGUAUGAUGGGAGUUUGUACUACACGUUUGAUUAAUUAAUAAAUUUUAUUUUCAAAAAAUAAAAAAAAAGCUACAAGUCAAGUAUGAGUUUAGAUUUCUUAUCAUAGAUAAACACCCAAAUUUUCACAAGCCCUUUUCUUUCAUUAUCACAAAAAUGUCCCAAAAAGCAUAGCAACAUAUACAUAGGUGGAAUUGAAGGUGGUGACAGGGAAUGGCGAUUGAUCGUCGUCUCUUAAUUUUUAUUUUUUUAUUAUUAUAUAUGAAAUUUAAUAUAUAUAAUAUAAUUAUUUUUAUAAUUAUGUUUUAUAUAAAAUUUUAAAUUUAUCAUGUGUUGGUACAUAUAUAUAUAUAUAUACUCGAACCAGCAAUGAA